AGUGGCGCACGGGUGGGUAACGCGUGGGUAAUCUGCCUCCGAAUUGGGGAUAACACUGCGAAAGCGGUGCUAAUACCGAAUAACACCUCCGGGACCCAGGUCCUGGAGAUCAAAGGUGGCCUCUACAUGUAAGCUACUGUUUGGAGAUGAGCCCGCGUACCAUUAGCUAGUUGGUGGGGUAACGGCUCACCAAGGCUGCGAUGGUUAGCUGGUCUGAGAGGAUGAUCAGCCACACUGGAACUGACACACGGUCCAGACUCCUACGGGAGGCAGCAGUGAGGAAUUUUGCGCAAUGGGGGAAACCCUGACGCAGCAACGCCGCGUGAGUGAUGAAGGCUUUCGGGUCGUAAAGCUCUGUCAAGUGGGAAGAACCUGCUCCAUGCUAAUAUCAUGGUGCAUUGGCGGUACCACUGAAGGAAGCACCGGCUAACUCCGUGCCAGCAGCCGCGGUAAUACGGGGGGUGCUAGCGUUAUUCGGAAUCAUUGGGCGUAAAGGGCGCGUAGGCGGUCUCUUAUGUCAGAUGUGAAAGCCCUCGGCUUAACCGAGGAAGUGCAUUUGAAACUGAGAGACUUGAGUAUGGGAGAGGGAAGCGGAAUUCCUGGUGUAGCGGUGAAAUGCGUAGAUAUCAGGAGGAACACCGGUGGCGAAGGCGGCUUCCUGGACCAAUACUGACGCUGAGGCGCGAAGGCGUGGGGAGCA
rnacentral:rRNA from 1 species